UCUUCUUUCUUUGCGUGUUUUAAUACUUUGUGUACAUGAUUUUCAAAGCUAUUGUUUCAUACAACUUCCACCUAGAAUCUUUUUCUUGUUCUUCUUACAGAGUGUGGUACCCUUUCCAACGAAUCUGCAUCUUUCAUUUUGUUUGUCUGUGGUCGUGCUUGUUAUAUGAAACUGAGCUUCUCAAGGGAUUUUUUACACAUAGAUACCAGCAUUAGAUUUUCAUGUCCCAGAUCGUAUUUUCCGAUGCUUGUUGGAUUGGGACACAACCUGGGAACCCUGAAGAAGCCCAACUUGAUUUCCCUAAGGAACUUACUAAGGGACAACACGCAUAAUAUGACUUUAAAGGUGUUGCGGGUUCAACAUCUGCAAACAAGCAAAGUGAUCGUAAAAAUGAAACUACAUAUGUAGAAGAACAUUCCCCAAAUGUUAAGGUUGAAGAUAAUGUAUCAGAUGAUGGAAACAAAGAUUUGAUGAGAGCAACACCUGUUCGACAUUCAGCAAGAACUGCCGGAAAACGAUUCAAGUAGUUACAUUUGUGCUGCAUUACCAUAUUUGCCUUUUCUGACCUGUCUGAUAUACCUAUGAUUUUGGAAAUGCUUCUUCUGGAGAUGAUUCUUUUGGAAGCGAUACUCACUUAAGUGAAGGAGAAUAUGAAAAAUUUGGGGGACUUGAUUCAUCAUCUGGGAAGCGUGCUAGUUUGAAAAUUUUGGGGGACUUGAUUAUGGUUGUAUUCACAUUUCUCUCAUUCUCUCUCAUCACAUUGAUAAUUUGAUAUAAAACUCCACACAUUUGACGGCUUUGAAUACAAAAUAACAUCCAUGUUAUAUUUCUCUA